CUCGACCAGAAGGUCUCCUCCGCCUUCCUCCUGCACCUGAUGUUCGCUGUGCUCCCUCUAUCGCACGUGCUCCGACAGCCUGAAGCUCGUCUCCACCUCGUCUGUGGAAAGAGGCUACGUUGUUGUUUUGGUGGUUUGUUGUGGUGGUGGUGCCCUCCGAUGGUGAAGCUGUGCUUGUGGUGACCUCUGCCGGAGCUCCUGCCUGUGUCCACGACGCCGAGAUGCUGCUGCUGGCGUACACCACGACCUGUUGGCUCGCCCCUCCCUCAUAAGCUACAAGGAAGAAUGAAUGAGGACAAGUUGAAGCAAUCUUGAUGG